UGCUUUCUUGUCAGUUCCUUUUGUGCUUC
rnacentral:piRNA from 1 species